rnacentral:lncRNA from 1 species
AGUUUCCUGUACCUUUUCCCCCUGUCUCUACAGAAUAUUGAUUACCCAGAAUUAUUGAGCCUGCGUAGAUUCAAGUUGAAUCACAUGGAUGAUGCAUUCCACUACACUCUAUACGCUGUGAUAGCAGAGCCCGAAGAUCAGCCAGGCCAUUAUAACUGUUUCUUCAAGGCAUGCAAUGACCAUUGGUAUGAAGUGCACAAUGAAAAGGUUGUCGAGAAAACAUUCGAUGUUGUGAUGAAGCAGCAGGCCUGCUCUUUGUUCUACAUCCGAACGAAGAAAUCUGAACUGAAAACAUUUCCACUGAAAAAGAAGGACCCUGCCUUAUGAAAGCAUCUGAUGAGAAAAGUCUGGCUUUGGGAAAUUCAUGAAGUUUCAUGUCAAGCACACUCUGAAAAGAGAGUUGAUGAAAACGAAAAAGAGAAGCCUGGCUUUGGAAAAUUCAAGGAGAAGUUGCAUGUCAAGCACACUUUGAAAAGAGAGUUGAUGAAAACGGAAAAGGUACGUCCUACAGCAAACCUAAAAUCGAGGUUGACCCAAAUUGUCAUUGACCCAAAGUUUUUCAAGAAGUUAUUUCUCACAAAGGUUUCUUGU